ACCACCGUGUUCCUGGUGCAGCCAGUAGUGGCAUUAUAUAUGACUUCUGUUUAGAAGCUGGAGUCAGUGAUUCUCCCAUGAAUCUGAGACCAUCAGCUCUCCCCGGUGGAGUAUUGAUUUCCACGAAAUAGUCUUCAUGCAGCCAUCUUUGCUCAAAAAUCACAUAAAGAAAUACUCUUCUUUAAAAAUAAUUCCUGUUCCUGCCAUCUUCUACUGGAAAUUCAAUAAUGUGAAGACUUCUUGUGAAAAUAUUUUGUGGAUGGUGUCUGUUCUUCAAAGAACGCAGUAAGUAAUAUUUUAUUCUUCAUACAAG
rnacentral:lncRNA from 14 species